rnacentral:rRNA from 1 species
UACGUAGGUGGCAAGCGUUAUCCGGAAUUAUUGGGCGUAAAGAGGGAGCAGGCGGCAGCAAAGGUCUGUGGUGAAAGACUGAAGCUUAACUUCAGUAAGCCAUAGAAACCGGGCAGCUAGAGUGCAGGAGAGGAUCGCGGAAUUCCAUGUGUAGCGGUGAAAUGCGUAGAUAUACGGAGGAACACCAGUGGCGAAGGCGACGAUCUGGCCUGCAACUGACGCUCAGUCCCGAAAGCGUGGGGAGCAAAUAGG